GCAGACACAUUACAGCCAAUCAGAAGCAGACCCUCCCUCCCAGACCCUCCCACCUCCUGGACAGCAUCCAUUUUACAAUCAUUGUGAAGCUGCAUUCUUAGUGAGCUGUCCAGGAGGUGGGAGGGUCUGGGAGGGAGGGUCUGCUGCUGAUUGGCUGGAAUGUGUCU
rnacentral:miRNA from 1 species